GGAGGAAAGUAGGGGAUCGUAAGACCUUGCGCUUUUGGAGCGGCCGAUGUCUGAUUAGCUAGUUGGUGGGGUAAUGGCCUACCAAAGCUUCGAUCAGUAGCUGGUCUGAGAGGACGGCCAGCCACACUGGGACUGAGACACGGCCCAGACUCCUACGGGAGGCAGCAGUGGGGAAUUUUGGACAAUGGGCGCAAGCCUGAUCCAGCCGUGCCGCGUGUGUGAAGAAGGCCUUCGGGUUGUAAAGCUCUUUCAGCCGGGAAGAAAAGGCUGCGACUAAUAAUCGCAGUUCAUGACGGUACCGGAAGAAGAAGCACCGGCUAACUACGUGCCAGCAGCCGCGGUAAUACGUAGGGUGCGAGCGUUAAUCGGAAUUACUGGGCGUAAAGGGUGCGCAGGCGGUUUUGUAAGUCAGAUGUGAAAUCCCCGGGCUUAACCUGGGAAUUGCGUUUGAAACUACAAAGCUAGA
rnacentral:rRNA from 1 species